rnacentral:rRNA from 1 species
UACGGAGGGUGCAAGCGUUAUCCGGAUUCACUGGGUUUAAAGGGUGUGUAGGCGGGCAGUUAAGUCAGUGGUGAAAUCUCCAGGCUCAACCUGGAAACUGCCAUUGAUACUAUCUGUCUUGAAUUCUGUUGAGGUGGGCGGAAUACAUCAUGUAGCGGUGAAAUGCUUAGAUAUGAUGUAGAACACCGAUUGCGAAGGCAGCUCACUAAGCAGCGAUUGACGCUGAGGCACGAAAGCGUGGGGAUCAAACAGG